rnacentral:rRNA from 1 species
GACGAACGCUGGCGGCGUGCUUAACACAUGCAAGUCGAGCGGUGCGGCGAACGGGUGAGUAACGCGUGAGUAACUGCCCCCCUCUCUGGUAUAACAGUUGGAAACGGCUGCUAAUACCGGAUAGUGGGGGAUGACUCGCGUCCUAUCAGCUUGUUGGUGGGGUAGUGGCGUACCAAGGCGACGACGGGUAGCCGGCCUGAGAGGGCGACCGGCCACAUUGGGCUGGGAUGCGGGCCGAACUCCUACGGGAGGCAGCAGUGAGGGAUAGUGGACAAUGGGGGAAGCCCGGAUGGAGCAACGCCGCGUGCGGGAGGACGGCUUUCGGGUUGUAAACCGCUUUCAGCCAUGACGCGGUAGUGGCAGAAGAAGCACCGGCUAACUACGUGCCAGCCGCCGCGGUAAUAC